rnacentral:lncRNA from 1 species
CGUCGUUGCCCCGCGUUGGAGCUCACCGCCGGUACCAUUGAACUCAACGUGAUUGGAACUUUAAGAUUUGAGCUUCCUAGCCAGUGUUGACCAAAUUCCGAUGACCGUUGACCGACAAGGGCAUUUUGGUAAUUUCACACUAUGAGGGCAAUUUUGUAAUUUUUGAGCCUGUGGAUAUGUUAGUAAUUCCUAGAAUUGAGGAUUGGGUGUAAUUACGAUUCCGAGGGUAAUUCAGUGAUUUACAAUUUCGGAGCAUGUUAAUGAUCUACGGACUCAAGGGCAUUUUUAGUAAUUUUAUGGACAUGGGAGUUGUCAAUUAUGGAUAGAUGUUUGUUUCGAAUUUAUUGCAUAAAAAUUUAGUCCUAAUUCCGAUUUACGAAAAAUAAUUAUGUCGUUUCCUUGAUUUAGGAGGAUCUGCGAGCGAGAACCAGUCCGCGGACGUGGACGAUAACUGACCGUGAACAACGUCACUGUGAGUGGAAUAUACAAAACCUAUUUUCAUAGUUAAUUAUGAUAGUAAAGCAUGUUUGCGAAAUAAGUAUUUUAAAUUUCUGAUUUAAUGAUUUCCUCGAAAUGGAUUUUAUUCACGCAUUGGUAUUUUAUUAAAAUGUUUGGUUAAUGAUUUUGCUUAUCGACUUUGAAUAAGCAUGAUAGUAUUUUAAAGAUAAGAAAAGUGGAUUCAAAUGUGGUAUAAUUUAAAAUAUGGUUAAGAGGUAUGUGAAUAUGAAUAUAUUGAUUAUUUUUGAAAUCAUUAGACAGUACCCUUCCCCUCCAGAUACAGUGAUACAGAUGAGAUGAGAUGAGAUGAGAUGAGAUGAGAGGUCUUUAGGGCCGUUUGAACACACAUAGAGGGUUUGGGUCGUGUUUUUGGGCGUUUCUGCCUUUUAGGGGUAUAUGUAUGUGGUAUGAUGAUUACAAAGAUAUAGACAGAUAUUGAGAUACAAAUGAUACAGAUGAGAUACAAGCCUUUGGGACCCGUCUGAGUACACAGAAAGGCUUUGGGCCGUGUGCUUGGGCGCUUUUGUCCUUUGGGGACUAGAUUGUGCAUGCACAGAUAUGAUGAGACAUGAGAUGGUAUUUCCCUGUCUAUCCGUGUAGCUCCAGGGCGUGACGUUACCCAGAUAGUACGUCAUUGCCUAUCCGUUGAGGUCCGGAUAUGACGAGAUUAUUUCCCUAGGUACUUGUUUGGUGAUGAUUUUCAGAUUUAUGAAUUCUAUAUGAUAUUGUGAUAUGAUUUCCAUGGUUAGUAAUCUGAUUUAAAUGUUUAAUGAUUUAUUACUGGUUUCUCGCUUAUGGUUUAACGAAAUCGUGUUUGGAAAUUAUAUGAUUAUUUCUUUUAAAGUAAGAAUUAAUUUUCAAACUACUAUCCACUCACUGAUCUCACUGAGUUUUAAACUCACCCCGUUUUUAUUAUAUUCCCUCCCCCCCCUCACCAGGAGGUUGCAGGUACACCAGACCGACCCAGCGACUGCAAAUAUAUUUUGAGUCUUGGCCACGUGAUGGUGUUAGAAGAUAUAAAUAUUUUCGUUAGGACAUCUUGGUUAUCUCGUCCUGUUGGGAUUGUAUAAUUUUUUGUUAUAUUAUUCUUUUGGGAUUAAGAAUAAACUGAAAUAUUAAUAUUAGUUAUAAU